rnacentral:sRNA from 1 species
GCCGGGCAUGGUGGUGCACCCCUGUAAUCCCAGCACUCGGGAGGCUGAGGCAGGAGGAUCCAUGUGACUUCAAGACCAGCCUGGGCUACAUAGUGAGUUCCAGGGCAGUCUCAACUACAUAGUGAGACCCUGUCUCAAACAAACAAACAGACAAACAAAUGCACUAUACAAGUUCAGAGAGGUAGAGGUGAAUUUUUUUUUUCUCACUAUGUAAUUCAGACUGCUCUGGAACUCCCUUUGUAGCCCAGGCUGGUCUCGAACUCACAGCAAUCCUCCUGCCU